CAAGUCGAACGAGUUUCCGGGCUUGCUCGGAAACUAGUGGCGAACGGCUGAGUAACGCGUAGGUGACCUACCCCGUAGUGUGGAAUAACUGCCCGAAAGGGUAGCUAAUACCGCAUGUUGAGCCGACAUCAAUGUCGUCUCCAAAGCAGAAAUGCGCUAUGGGCGGGGCCUGCGUUCGAUUAGCUAGUUGGUGGGGUAAUGGCUCACCAAGGCGACGAUCGAUAGGUGGUCUGAGAGGACGAUCACCCAGACUGGGACUGAGACACGGCCCAGACUCCUACGGGAGGCAGCAGUCGGGAAUUUUGCGCAAUGGGGGAAACCCUGACGCAGCAAUACCGCGUGUGGGAUGAAGGCCUUCGGGUCGUAAACCACUUUUUUCGGGGACGAUAAUGACGGUACCCGAAGAAUAAGCCACGGCUAACUACGUGCCAGCAGCCGCGGUAAUACGUAGGUGGCAAGCGUUGUCCGGAUUUACUGGGCGUAAAGCGCGCGCAGGCGGUGAAUGAAGUCGAAAGUGAAAGCCCCGAGCUCAACUCGGGAACUGCUUUCGAAACCAGUUCACUUGAAGGUGGAAGAGGGAGGUGGAAUUCCGAGUGUAGCGGUGGAAUGCGUAGAUAUUCGGAGGAACACCAGAGGCGAAGGCGACUUCCUGGUCCAAUCUUGACGCUGAGGCGCGAAAGCUAGGGGAGCAAACAGGAUUAGAUAUCCUGGUAGUCCUAGCUGUAAACGAUGGAUACUAGGUGUUGGAGGUUUUAACCCCCUUCGGCGCCGCAGCUAACGCAUUAAGUAUCCCGCCUGGGGAGUACGGCCGCAAGGCUAAAACUCAAAGGAAUUGACGG
rnacentral:rRNA from 1 species